CACGUAGGGCGCGAGCGUUGUCCGGAAUUAUUGGGCGUAAAGAGCUCGUAGGCGGCCUGUUGCGUCCGCUGUGAAAGCCCGGGGCUUAACCCCGGGUCGGCAGUGGAUACGGGCAGGCUAGAGGUAGGUAGGGGGAGAAUGGAAUUCCCGGUGUAGCGGUGAAAUGCGCAGAUAUCGGGAGGAACACCGGUGGCGAAGGCGGUUCUCUGGGCCUUACCUGACGCUGAGGAGCGAAAGCGUGGGGAGCGAACAGG
rnacentral:rRNA from 1 species